ensembl:lncRNA
ACCAUAUGUUUGGGAACUGCUGAGUCACGGCCUGAACCACUGAUUGAGCACCUGAAAGAGGAGACCCAGUCAGCCCUGAGUGCACAGGUGGAGGCAAUUCAUCUGCGAGACCAGUGGAGCCAGACCUCAUGUAAGGGCUUAUUGCCCGAGGAACAAUCUUUUGCUGGAGAUUUCUCCUAUGUGGAGUUUUUCUGCGAGCUAAGAUCUUUGGAGAUGGAAAUGGUGAUUAUUCAGAGAAGAAUGCUAAGCAGCUGGACUGUAUGUAUCAUAUGGACGACCGCUUGUGGGUAACUUCAGACUGCAGUUUUGUCUACGGGGAAAAAAUCAGAUGAGACAUUCUGAGGAAAACCCUGAAGCAGGAAAAAAUGAGCCAUAUGGAAACUUUGCUCCAGUUUGCCCUAAACUCUGGUGAUGUUCUGUGAAGAGGAGGAUGAAGAAUGGAGAAAAUUGUUUUGACUGGUCAGCAACCUUAUUCCUUCGAUCAUUUGUAUGCAAAAGUUUGUGUCCUUAAGCCAAACGUGUUAUAAGUUUUGGUGUUGCCGAAUCCUGGAUCCUUCAGAUUUCAGGAAAGUUGAUGGAGGUUGAGGAAAAUUGAAGAAAGAAAUACUGUCUGGGAACCAGUUUCAUUUAAUUUUCUCUUUUCAUUCUUGUAACUGCCCAAGUGGAAGCAUUUGCUGCUCUGGGAAGGAAAGGAUUUCCCCAUGGAAGACAGCUUUUUGGCAAGUCAAUAAGUUUCUAACCUGCCAAAUAGUUGUGGUGGCGUUGUCCCAGGAAAGCAUUCAGUACUUCUGUUUUGGAGAACUGAAAACAGAACUCAAAUACAGUACAAAGUUAAGACAAGAACCUUUUGCAGCUUCAACAACAUCUCUUCAGCUAAGUACCUACUUAAUUGAAAAACAGGCACUCUGUUUGCCCAUUUUUCAUCUUCUAGCAACAGUUCCAGUCCUCAGAGAUAACUAUAAACCACUGAGAAAUUCCUCUGGCCUGUUCUUUAAGUGUCCUGGAGUAAAUCUGAGCUUAUUCCAAUAAUCUGGAAACAAGAUACUUCUCAGAUUGCUUCCCACAUAAUUUACUUUUACAGAAGCUCACUAUAUUUCAAGUUUCAGCUAACUAAAUGAGAUUAAGAAGAUUUGUUACUACCUGGUAUCUUUUAUCCCUGCAGAAGAGUAAGCUGGAUGUACCACAGGGCAGCAUGCAGAGUGCAGUGUGUGGGGGAAGAAAAACCACUCUACCCAAACCUUUCUCUAUGCAGGCUGAGAAAGUGAGCUACAGAUGGAUUCCAGAGGCAUCGUUUCUCAUGGAUCAUUCUUCACUGCUAUUCCUUUAGUCUUAGGAGCACUUUAGCAGCAGGUUUGACAAACAGCUCAUCUCCUGCAUUAUGUUGGGCCAAAACCUGUGAAGGUUUAAAGCUUGAACUUGUGAACUCAGUGACUGGUGCUAUGGUCUGCAGUAUUGCAUUCACCCCAUCCGCACUGCUAAAUGAAAAAGUUUUUGCGUUUCUGGUGUCUGUGUGGAGGACUCAGCAAGCAAACAGCGUGUCCUGGCAGGCAACAUCUGUGCUCUGCACCUGCUGGAAGAUAGUCAGUGCCAAGUGGUGGAAAGACAAUGACAUCUGAAUUUCUGCAAUGCGUGAUACAUGCAUAUCCUAAACAUAUGGAAAUAUCUGUGACUGCAGAUGACUACCUCCAGCUCCUUUUGAAAAGGAACGAAAUUAGUGGAACUUUCUAUGCCCUUUAAGGAGAGAUGUCAGAAAAAAAAGAUAAGUUUUGUGGGGGUUUUUCUGUUGUUUGGUUGGUUUGGGUUUCCUUGUUGGUUUGUUUUUAAAUGCAGAGUUAAUAGUUUUGUAGUCUUCAAAGUCUGUGUUGUCUAAAACACUGGUCAAAGUGGAUCAGUGAGACUCCACAGGAAGACUUGCUUGUUUUGUGCAAAGCUAAAUUUUAUCCCUUUCAUCUACGAAGAGAACUGUCCUUGCUGACACGUGAAGGGCCUUGUACAUCAUCUUCUGUGCCAAAGCUGCAAGAGGACUGUGGCUAUCACACUUAAUCUGUCUAUCAUAAUGUUUUGUAUUUCCUGACUUUGUUCAUCUCUGUUUACUUCUCAUCUGCAGCCUGGUUUCAAAUUUUUGUGACACUGAGUAAAUCCAGAAGAAGGUUUUUUUCCUGUACUGUUAAUAGUCUGUGCAGACUAUUCAAAUCCUUUUAGCACACUUUGUGAAGCUUUUUAAUAAAUAAUUUUUUUCAUUAAAAAAUUUAUAUCUUUCCUCCAGGCAAGAAAGAAGAUCUAUUCAAGAUCUUUCAGUAGUUGUUGGUUUGUUGUUGUCUGUUUGUUUGGAAACAUUUAUUUAUUCAAAGUGUUUUAUUUCAAGUACAUGUUAGCAAUCUCCACAGAUUAUUAACAGUGAAUCCGUUCCUCAAAAGGUAACAGUAAUUUAGUGAUAAUCAUUAGACCAGAAAUAUUCUUCUUUGUACUGAAAAAUUAAGCCAGAAAAGCUUUUUUUCUUAGGCUCACUGGAAAAUCAAGUUGAUUAAUUGCAAUGUGCUUAUCAAAACAUCUGCCCUUCAGAACUGGGCUGCAAAGUGAUGCCAUCUUCAUGCUGAGAUUACAGCUGGAUAUGAUGAUGCCAUCUACUCCACUGUCCAAUAACAUUCUUUUUCUAAUCUAACCAUGUUAUUCUUGGAUUGUUUGUAGCUGCAUUAUGAUCACUACUUUGCAU